ACUCCUACGGGGAGGCAGCAGGUGGGAAUAUUGCACGAAUGGGCGCAAGCCUGAUGCAGCCAUGCCGCGUGUGUGAAGAAGGGCCUUCGGGUUGAUGAAAGCACUUUUCAGUUGUGAGGAAAGGUUAGUCGCUAAUAUCGGCUAGCUGUGACGUUAGCAACAGAAGAAGCACCGGCUAACUCCGUGCCAGCAGCCGCGGUAAUACGGAGGGUGCGAGCGUUAAUCGGAAUUACUGGGCGUAAAGCGCGUGUAGGUGGCUUGUUAAGCCAGAUGUGAAAGCCC
rnacentral:rRNA from 1 species